rnacentral:rRNA from 1 species
UUGUAGAGGAUGCUUUUGGCGCGGUGCCUUCCGAGUUCCCUGGAACGGGACGCCUUAGAGGGUGAGAGCCCCGUACGGUUGGACACCAAGCCUCUGUAAAGCUCCUUCGACGAGUCGAGUAGUUUGGGAAUGCUGCUCUAAAUGGGAGGUAAAUUUCUUCUAAAGCUAAAUAUUGGCCAGAGACCGAUAGCGCACAAGUAGAGUGAUCGAAAGAUGAAAAGCACUUUGAAAAGAGGGUUAAAUAGCACGUGAAAUUGUUGAAAGGGAAGCGUUUGCGACCAGACCUUUUCCUAGCGGAUCAUCCGGUGUUCUUCGCCGGUGCACUUCGCUAGGUCGAGGCCAGCAUCGGUUUCUGCAGGGGGAUAAAAGCCCAGGGAACGUAGCUCUUUCGGGAGUGUUAUAGCCCUCCGCAUAAUACCCUUGCGGGGACCGAGGACCGCGCUUUUUGCAAGGAUGCUGGCGUAAUGGUCGUCAACGACCCGUCUUG